rnacentral:rRNA from 1 species
UACGUAGGGGGCAAGCGUUGUCCGGAAUCAUUGGGCGUAAAGAGCGUGUAGGCGGCUUGGCAAGUCUUGCGUGAAAUCCUGCGGCUCAACCGCAGGCGGUCGCAGGAAACUGCCUCGCUAGAGUCCGGAAGAGGAGAGCGGAAUUCCUGGUGUAGCGGUGGAAUGCGCAGAUAUCAGGAAGAACACCCGUGGCGAAGGCGACAUACUGGUCCGUUACUGACGCUGAGGCUCGAAAGCGUGGGGAGCAAACAGG